UGGCAUAGUGGUUAAGUACUAUGGCUGCUAACCAUGAGGUUGGCGGUUUGAAUCCGCC
rnacentral:tRNA from 1 species